AUCCUCCUGCCUCAGCCUCCCAAAACGCUGGGAUUACAGGCACGAGCCACCACGGCCAGCCCAUGACUUAUCUUUAAAUCCCAGUAGGUAGCCCAAUGCCUGGCACUUGGUUGGCCCUCAGGAUACUUUUCUUGGAGUAGCCAUAAAUAAGUGGGUGCCCCAGGGAGGUUGGGAUGAGCAAUACUGAGAAGUUUAAGGCACAGUUCUCCUGCCAAAGCGGUUGGUCUCUUUCCACCGUCACCUGGUUUCCCUGGAUCAGCUAUUACAUCUCAUUAAUAUCUUAUAUUUCAUUUUCUUUGUAGUUCCCUUGCAAUGUUUCCCAAUGUGUGUCCUGUGGGACAAUAGUUCAGUGGAAUAUUAAUUAAGUAUUAUAGUGCAAAGGGAUUCUGAGAUCAAGUGAGUUUGGGAAAUAGCAAGUUAAAGAAAAGGAAGCAGGUUUAUUUGCUGAGGGACUUAUCAGAGCCUUUCAUGUGUUCAUGGAUGUUGUUACCAUCCACAAAGGUAACAGGGGCUUUCGUGUUUCCCACACCUUUUUGACCUUGAAAUCAUUAUUUUUUCCCCUUUGAGUAUCUCACAGGACUAGUGUUCUGAGGAGCAGUACACUGAGAAAUGGUCCUCUAGACAGAGAGGAAAUGCUGUCUUCCCCCUUUAUUGGCUAUGUGGGAUUCGUAUAAUUUGCUUAUUUGUCGGAUCCAUUAUUGCUGGGUGUGGGAGAGCAGGCAUGUGUUAGACUGUCCAUCUUCAGAGAGGUUUCCUGCUCUUCCUGUUCGUCCAGUAGUUAUGGGCUGUGAUUGUUAUGGUGAUAGCAGGGAGGCUGCAGACCCCAGAGGGGAUUAGGCAUAUCUGUGUGUAAACUUUGGGCAAUGUCUUUCUUUCAACUGGGCUUGAAUCACAGCAUUGCAUACCCUAAGAAAACAUCAUGAGGUAUAUAAAGUUCCCAUACUCCCAUUAAGUGGCCUGGUUUUCGUCUUUAAGUAUGGUGGGGCUGGUAGGAGUAGAACACGGGAUGAUGUAUCACUUCUCCUGGGUUUCUCAACCUCAGCACGACUGACAUUUGGAUGGGAUCAUUGUUUGUGGGGUCUGUCCUGUGCCUUGUAGGAUAUUUGGCGGCAUCCCUGGCUUCUACCCACUAGAUGUCAGUAGCACGUAUCAUCCCUCCUGCCUCCCCAUUGUGACAACCCAAAAUGUAGGCAGACAUUGCCAAGUGUCCUCUAGGGGACAAAAUCCCUCUCCCAUUGAGAACCACUGCUUUAAGAGAAGAUUACCCAAAGUCUGUGCAAGGCUUUUGGAAUACUCUUGGAAGGAUUUUUAUCAUACUCUUGGAAGAAGGAAGUAGUGCUAUCAUGCUCAAAGCAUGGUCUGAGAGCCUAUAAGACGUGCCAGCUAAUGAAACUCUCCCCUGGGGUGUUUUCGUAACUCAUCCUUAAGGCUCGUAUAUCUGUUGAGUUUCUUGGUUGCAAGUUACAGAAAACCCAAUCCAAAAUGGUCUAAGCCAGAAAAUGAAUUUUUUGGCUGUGGUAACUGAAGAGUCCGACACAGUGCUAACUUUAGGCACAGCUGGAUCCAGGUGCUUAAGCAGUGUUAUCAAGAAACAAGAAUUUUUCCAAAUCUUUGCUCUGAUUUCCUCAUUAUUGAUAUCAUUCUCAGACAGGCUCUUCCCAUGUGGCAGUGAGAAAGCUGCCAGCAGCUCCGGCCUACUCCUCACUAGAACAGAUCUGGUGGAAAGGGAAAGCUUCUCUUCCCUCAUGGUUUGAAUGCAAGUCCUGGAUCUGAUUCCCAUUGGCCUGGGAUACUACGCUAUUCUCAUUAGCUGUGCCGGGUUCACACGCCUGUCCCUGGAGCCUGGGGAGGAGCCAACACCAACGGAACCAUUUGGUGGGGAACAGGAGAGGAAUGGUUCUUUAGAGGCAAACGGGGCAGUUACUUGAAGAGAGGUCAGCGGAUGCUGGUCAGACAAGCACCUCUAUUGCCUCAUUCAUAAAAAUAACUAAACGACAGCCAAUAACGGCAGCUCCCACUUGUCGAACAUGAAUUCUGUACCAGACCCUACCUAUACUGCGUGAUCGCUAAUCACCACCAGCAUCCUGAGAGGCAGCUGUUGUCAACCUAUUUUACAGAUGGGUAAGUGGAGUCUCAGAGGCAGAUGAAAUGACUUGGCUGAAGUCACAGAGUGGGGCAGUGGCUGAGCCACAGACCGGAGGCAUCCUUUUACCUCCUCUAGGACACCCUCUGUAACUGACUUUCUUCCUGCUGCAAUCCAAAAGGUCUCCCAAGGUCGCCUGUUGCUAUUUUGGAAAGAGGUGGACAGAUACUGGAGGGCCACUCUUCAGGCCACUGCCCAAUCUUUUCUUGUCAAUUUGAUGUCAGCUUGUGCCAAUCAUCCCUGAAGGGCCAUUCUGACACAGCAAGUAAGGGAAAGCUUGGCCGGCGUUUUCUGGUUUGGCUCUGUUCUGCCUGCUUGGUCCAUUUUCCUCACCUCCGUUUUUGCCCGUUGCCGCUGUUUUUAUCUUCCAUCCCCCCAGGGAGCCUGCAGAGGGUGCAUUAGUAAUAAAGCUAACAUUUCCAGAGAGAGAGAGAGAUAUCAAGGAAUUUCCAUGACAUGAUUUCAUGAAGUUUUCUCAAAUAUCAUAUCAAGUAGACACUACUAUUAUCCCCAUUUUACAGAUGGAGCAACUGAGGCCUGGAGAGGCUAGAGGACUUGCCCAAGGUUGCCCAGCCAGCAGAUGGGAGAACUGGUGUUUGAAUCCAGGCAGGACCCAUUGCUUUUAUUACGGAGAACCAUCACUCGGAUUAUCAUGAAACCCGAGCGUGUGCGCAUGAGAAUCACAGAGUGGCCAAGAGUGAGGACGUUGACACUACACAGACCUGGGGCAGACCCGGCCCUGCUGCUGAGUGGUUGACUGGCCCCAGGUGAGUUCUGUAACUUCCAUGAGCCUCAGGGUCCUCAUCUGCAAGAUGGGAGGAAAGAGGAGAUCACAGGAAUUUUGUGAGGAAUAAAUAAAAGAAUGUAUAGAAAGCACAGAGCCUGUGUCUGGCAUGCAAGACUUGUUGAGUAAAUGUUAACUUUUCCUGUUUUACUGUGAAGUGGCAACAUGAGGUCCUGCACACAGCCAGGGUUCAGUGAAUAUGGCUAAGCCCAGAGUCCUUAUUGGGAGAAAGUGGCCAGAAACCAGGCUCAAACUCCAGUGCCUCAACUUCCUAAGCGUAUGCAGCUUGAAAGAACAUUACACCCCCUCAAAGGGGGUAAAGUCAGUGUGGGGGAUGACACUUCCCUUCAGGUUUGCUGGGGGAUGAGACGCUGCCUGUAAAGUGCUCAGCACAUAGUAGGUGCACAACAAAGUUAUUGUUCAUGUUGAGAACUAGUCUCAUGCCCAGACUGGGCUCACCUCAGAGGGGUCACACACAUUCCUUUUCUUCUGGGAAAUCAAGGUGAACUGGAUGAAUGGCUCAGCACCUUCUCACAUGCAGACCUGCUGGGAGUGGGAGGUGGACCUACGGGGUUCUGCACCAUCUGGAGCUCAUUUCAUGGACAGAAAGGAAACAGAAAGGCAGGCACGCUCUCCUGAGGGCCUACUAUGUCCAGAUGCUUUGCUUAAACAGAGAAUAUUUAUUUCUCAGUCACAAACUCAGGUGUGCAAAAAUGCAACUUUGUGUCCAGAACGCAGUUAACUCUGGUUUCCCACCCACUCCAUGUGCCUCACCACAGGCUGCUUAAUCCAGUUCUCUUCUGGCUGGAACUCAGGGAUUUAAGCUCUGAUUUGGGUUUGUAAUUCAGGUUUCCUCCUCCCUCUCUGGGUGGUGGAGGUGGGAUGCGGGGGAUGGGGGGCUCUCUUCUGGCUCUGCCCCUUCUCUCCAGCCUGGCUCCCUGGGUCUGAUGACUGCUCUACCAAACGGUGGCCUUGACCUCUGUCUGGUGCUGGCCCUGGAGCCCCGUGAGAUGUCAGCCUGGAUGUAGUGGGAGGUCUGCAGGAGCCCCGCUCAGGAAAUGCGGAUCCCUUGAGGCCCUCUGCAGGUUUUCACAGGCGCUGACACCCAGCGCUUUCAUCCUGUGUCCCAGGGUGGGAACAUCUGCAUCCCCAUAUUUCAGGAGUGCCGUUGCCUGUGCACCCACAAGAGGUCUCAUCUUAUCCUGGCAACAGCCUGUAGGGUUGGGAGCAGCUGCGAGCCAUUUGUGCAGGAGUGCCCGGGGAGAUGGUUACGUGCUUCAUCAUUCAAGCUUGCCCUCCCUCUCCUAGGUAGCACUGCCUUGAAACUACUCCUAGCAAGAAACACAGCUUCUGAUCAUGGGAGAACCUAUUUGCAUCACAGUUCACAAACAUGCUUUUAGACACUCUCCACUUCAGUGGAGGAAACAGAGCCCCAGCGAGGGGAAGAGACUUACCCAAGUCACGUAGCUAAGAGGCAAAAUCAGGAUUCAGACUCAGCCUCCCAGCGCUCACUCCACAGUGCCUUGUUGGCCCAGCCCUAGAAGGCCUCCUGGCUGGAGGCCAUUGCCUGAGCCUGGGGAUGACACAUAUGUCCACUGGAUGUCAUGAUUUCUCUACUGAAGCUAGCUGGACCUUCUUGGCAGUGACAUAGGAUUUUCCCCCUUCCUGGGGCAAAGCAGUCUCAUAUGGGACACUCAGGUGGUGGCUCUCCCUCCUUUUGGCUCAAAGACAGGAGGUAAGGCCUGCAUCCUGUUUUCCUAGGGUGGGGAAAGUCUGCACACAGGUGGAUCCACUCUUUCCUGGGGACCUGGGAUCAUUGCAGCCUUCUCCACCCCACAGGCCCCUCCACAGCCUCUGCCCAAAUCCCCUUUCCCGGACUCCAAGUUGUAUCACCUUAGUUAACGCUUCAUUCCCCAGGUGUCUAAGAAAAAAAUGUUCUCCCCAUGCAGUUUCUCCACCUGGGAAACAGGCGGCCUUCUCUCUCUCUACGUCAUCAAGUCAGUGCAGAGCGCAUGGAGCAGCAACGCCCUGCCCAGCUCUGGGCUGCCCGCUGCGUGCUGAGGAUCCAGAGACAAACCAGCCAUGCUCCUGGCUGAGCGGAAGGUCCUCCCGAGCCUGCACAGUCUGAACUUGCUGAGCAGCCUGAGCUGGCGAAGAUGCCCUCCUUUAGAGGAGCGUGCAGACUUGAUAAGGGAAACAGAUGGGCCAACAGAUAAUUCCCAGCAGAGGUGUGUUCAAACAUGAGCCCUGGGGACUAGGUACUAAGCAGAUGGAGGAACAGAGAUGUAAGUAACUUACCCAAGAUCACACAGCCAGCAGAUCUGCACCGAGGCAGU
rnacentral:lncRNA from 1 species